UACGAAGGGGGGCUAGCGUUGCUCGGAAUCACUGGGCGUAAAGCGCACGUAGGCGGACUCUUAAGUCGGUGGUGAAAUCCUGGAGCUCAACUCCAGAACUGCCUUCGAUACUGGGAGUCUCGAGUUCGGAGAGGUGAGUGGAACUGCGAGUGUAGAGGUGAAUUCGUAGAUAUUCGCAAGAACACCAGUGGCGAAGGCGGCUCACUGGCCCGAUACUGACGCUGAGGUGCGAAAGCGUGGGAGCAACAGG
rnacentral:rRNA from 1 species